rfam:Sutterella sp. CAG:351 genomic scaffold, scf227
GGGGCUGCCUUGGUUUCGACGUGGAUUACGAAGGAGCACGGGGCAUGUCGAGGUCCGAGAUCCUCGUUAAACAGUUCGGAAAAGUAAUAAACGCCAAUAACAAGCGUUACGCUCUCGCUGCUUAAUGCCAGCGGGACGCUGCACCGGUUCGCCUGAGGGCCGGGUCAGCCUAAAAACUGACAGCAGCGCCAUAUACUCGGGCUGGAUCCUGUUGGAGCCGUGACGGCAGGAUUAAGAUCAAGCGGCUGGUCUUCAUAUGGCCUGCUGGUGGGCAUGGAUGAAGAUGAGAUUUAAAGUUCAUCAGAUACGCAUGUAGAACCGUCUUUGGACAAUUUGCGGACGCGGGUUCGACUCCCGCCAGCUCCACCA